rnacentral:rRNA from 1 species
GACGAACGCUGGCGGCGUGCUUAACACAUGCAAGUCGAACGGAAAGGCCCUGCUUUUGUGGGGUGCUCGAGUGGCGAACGGGUGAGUAACACGUGAGUAACCUGCCCUUGACUUUGGGAUAACUUCAGGAAACUGGGGCUAAUACCGGAUAGGAGCUCCUGCUGCAUGGGGGGGGUUGGAAAGUUUCGGCGGUUGGGGGUGGACUCGCGGCUUAUCAGCUUGUUGGUGGGGUAGUGGCUUACCAAGGCUUUGACGGGUAGCCGGCCUGAGAGGGUGACCGGCCACCUUGGGACUGCGAUACGGCCCAGACUCCUACGGGAGGCAGCAGUGGGGAAUAUUGCACAAUGGGCGGAAGCCUGAUGCAGCAACGCCGCGUGCGGGAUGACGGCCUUCGGGUUGUAAACCGCUUUCGCCUGUGACGAAGCGUGAGUGACGGUAAUGGGUAAAGAAGCACCGGCUAACUACGUG